AUUGAACGCUGGCGGCAGGCCUAACACAUGCAAGUCGAACGGUAACAGGAAGCAGCUUGCUGCUUCGCUGACGAGUGGCGGACGGGUGAGUAAUGUCUGGGAAGCUGCCUGAUGGAGGGGGAUAACUACUGGAAACGGUAGCUAAUACCGCAUAAUGUCGCAAGACCAAAGAGGGGGACCUUCGGGCCUCUUGCCAUCGGAUGUGCCCAGAUGGGAUUAGCUUGUUGGUGGGGUAACGGCUCACCAAGGCGACGAUCCCUAGCUGGUCUGAGAGGAUGACCAGCCACACUGGAACUGAGGCACGGUCCAGACUCCUACGGGAGGCAGCAGUGGGGAAUAUUGCACAAUGGGCGCAAGCCUGAUGCAGCCAUGCCGCGUGUAUGAAGAAGGCCUUCGGGUUGUAAAGUACUUUCAGCGGGGAGGAAGGGAGUAAAGUUAAUACCUUUGCUCAUUGACGUUACCCGCAGAAGAAGCACCGGCUAACUCCGUG
rnacentral:rRNA from 1 species